rnacentral:tRNA from 1 species
UCCCUGGUGGUCCAGUGGUUAAGACUAUAGGCUCCCAGUGCAGGGGACCCAGGUUUGAUCCCUGGUCAGGGAA